rnacentral:tRNA from 3 species
GCCCAGGUGGCGGAAUUGGUAGACGCGCACGUUUGAGGGGCGUGUGGAGCAAUCCGUGCUGGUUCGAGUCCAGUCCUGGGCACCA